rfam:Onchocerca flexuosa genome assembly, scaffold: OFLC_contig0005355
AUCUUUUGGAUCCUGAAUUUGUUUGAGUGCUGGAUGGAAAAUGACAAAAUCUCUAGCACCAUUUAAAUUCAGUAUUCCAACUA